GACUCUCGACAACGGAUAUCUCGGCUCUCGCAUCGAUGAAGAACGUAGUGAAAUGCGAUACUUGGUGUGAAUUGCAGAAUCCCGUGAACCAUCGAGUCUUUGAACGCAAGUUGCGCCCGAAGCCGUCAGG
rnacentral:rRNA from 1 species